GCCCGCUUGGCUUAGUGGUACAGCGUCUCACUCGUAUUCCACGUGUUCAAAACCGCGUUUGAUAUGUUCAUGAGAAGAUCCCUCGUUCGAUUCGGUAUGCGUUUA